rnacentral:lncRNA from 12 species
UCCCAGUCCUUCCUUCAGCUCGAGGCUCCUUUUUCAUGUCAGCCAAUGCCCCACAUGUUCCAAUAAGCCCUGAGCGGGAAGUUGAAUGUGCUUCCCUUUGCAGCACACAUUUCCACUUCUGUAGGAAGACAAGUAGAGCAAAUUGGGUUACAGCGGAGAAUGACAUUAAGGUAUCAGUGGGACAACAGAAAUGGUUGGGUUUGUGUCAAAAAAGAAGGAAUCUCACAGAUAUUCAAGUUUUCAAGGCCUUUGGGUUCCCACAAAAAUUCUCCCUCAAAUUAACUGGAAGUCUUCAACUAAGGUAAGCAAUGUAUAUCACAUAUUAAAUUGGCCCCUUGAGAUUCUGGACAGGUGGGAAAAGCAGGGGAAAGCCCUCAAAAAACAAAAUGGCAAAACAAAAACCCUGAGAUUCUCAACAUACUAGCUUGUUAUGACUACAUUGCCAGCAAUGAGUUUCCAGCUUCUGAGAUUUUUGGAAAAAGAAAUAAGCUCCAUUUCUGAAGCAAAGACCUUUUCACUUCUAUAGUGGAAGAUAAUAUGAUUUUCCAACUCUCAUUAAAAAAAUUAAAGUUCCCCAAUUUUUCAGAUCUUUUUUUUACAAAUUCAGCCUCUGAAUAUUGCCAAUCACUAGAGAUAAUUCCGUUAUGCUAGCCAUCAUGUCAAAAAGAGAUGAUUUCUGCUGAUUUAAAAAUGACCGUAUAAAAUGGAUAAGUUAUGAUGAUCUAUGAUUAUAACAUUACUUAGGGACUAGCCUGAUAAUUGUUUUUUAACCUUUGGAGCAGUUUACUUGAACAUAAGGAGCUCUAUGUGGGAGAUCCAUUAGUUGGGAGGUGAGCAGAAGUAGAGGUUUUAAGAUCAUCUAGGUUAGGUACUUUCCAAUUACUUAGUCUCUAGUAUACGCAGGAAUAGUUGAAAGAAAGAUUUAGUGUAAAAUAUUACCUCCUAUCCAUGUCCAGGUCAUGUAUUUAUGUGAAAAACAAAAUGUAGAAAAGGACAUAUAGUGUGUUACCACCAUUUGCAGAAAAUCUCUCUGUCCAAAUAUACAUACACACUCAAAUCUAUCCUUGAAAAGAAAAACAAGAAACUGGAAACACUGGUGUCUUGAGAAGGAACAAAAUUAAUGGAAGUGACAGGAAG